UAAGAUGGCUGAAAUAGUGGUGGAUUGUAGCUCCACACAUAAAGGUUAAAAUCCUUUUCUUAU
rnacentral:tRNA from 1 species